AGGGUGCUGGCAGGAACCAAGUGAGGUAAGGAUGCUGGAGGAGGUGAGCAUGCAGAGGCAGUAGCCAUAACCCCUAGGUGUAAGAGCGCUAUCCUGCCAGUCUUCCCAUGCACGUGCCUGCUGCAGAGACUCCAGGAAUCUCUGCCUGCCUGUAACUUCUCCUGGCCACUUUCCCUGCAUCCCAGUGCCUGGUGCACCUAUUUGCAUAUCUGACUUUGUGGGUGUUUUUUUGCUUAAGCUCUGGUUACAUUGGUGAGUGGGUGGGCCCAGCCUCACCUCGAGAUGGCACAGGAAGGUGCUGGUUGCAGGAGCUCGUGAGCUGGCACACACCUGGGUAACCACUUUCAACGACCUGUGAGUUCCUGCAUCUGACAAGAAGGUAGGUUCCUGUGGGAUCCUAAAUUCAGCAGAGACUCUCCACACUUCUGCCUUUCUGCUAUACCCACCCAACUUGGGAACACAGCAGGAGCCCCAAUGAGGGGCUAUUGAGGUCACACAAAAGUGCUAGGGUCUUAGAGACAGGAUGUUCCCACACUUUCCCACACCGCAAGGUCCUCUGAGCAGGUCCCAGCAGAUCAGUCGCUUCUAGCUGAUCUGAGUUUGCCAUCUUCUGGAGAGAAAACUGUCAGGUAAUUGUCACUGUCUCUGUCUCUGUCCUUGUAGGAAAAUCAGGAAACCAGACCCGGCCUCACCGAACUUAAACCUGGCUAGGGAGAGCAAGACCUGGUAGAUGCCUUUUUAUAGAAGUGUGUGUACCAUGCAUGGGAAGUCCAAGGAGAGAGCUGCCCUCACAUUUGAGCCUGACUCUGCCAUCCCUCAGCGACCAUUUAUUUACUGACCUCGCUUUGGUUGUAGUGUUCUCCAUUAAGGAGGUACAGAAGGUUAUCUACAAUCCUUUCCCAAGCACAUGGCUUCAGGAAAACUCAUGGAAUCUAUACUUUGGUAAACAGAAGAAUAUGGCCUACUUCCUAGGGAGAGAGCACUAUGGCUGUCCCAGCCCUGGUGACUGCACACAGAACCACACUGCUGAGACACAAAAUCUUUGACCAACAUAUAUUUUUGAGAUCCCUAAAGUAUUAAAAGUCAACCUCCUCACUUAAAAUUUUCAGGAUGGGUCAGGUGUGGUGUUACACACCUUUAAUCUCAGCCCUCGAGGCAGAAGGAUCCCUCUGAGUUUGAAGCAGGAACUCAUAGUGAGACACUGCC
rnacentral:lncRNA from 1 species